CCGUGCUGCGUGGAUCUCGGUCCCCUCCCGUGCUGGAGUGUCGGCACGGCUAACAAAAUUCUUGCAUUUCAUGUCAUCCGUCUGAACUGUUAAAUACAAAAAAGUUAAAACUUUCAACAACGGAUCUCUUGGUUCUCGCAUCGAUGAAGAACGCAGCGAAAUGCGAUAAGUAGUGUGAAUUGCAGAAUUCAGUGAAUCAUCGAAUCUUUGAACGCACAUUGCGCCUCCUGGUAUUCCGGGAGGCAUGCCUGUUCGAGCGUCAUUAAAAUCAACUCAAGCUCUUUUGCUUGGUCAUGGAAGAUGAGUCUGCCUGGCAGUCUCCCCUCCGAAAUUCAAUGGCGGAAGGUCCCUGGUGCCCGGCGUAGUAUUAACGUUCGCUUUGUACCCAGAGUCGUUCCUGCUGUAUAAACCCCCAUUUCUUGUGAUUGACCUCGGAUCAGGUAGGGAUACCCGCUGAACUUAAGCAUA
rnacentral:rRNA from 1 species